rnacentral:rRNA from 1 species
UGGGGAAUUUUGGACAAUGGGCGAAAGCCUGAUCCAGCAAUGCCGCGUGUGUGAAGAAGGCCUUCGGGUUGUAAAGCACUUUUGUCCGGAAAGAAAUCCUUGGCUCUAAUACAGUCGGGGGAUGACGGUACCGGAAGAAUAAGCACCGGCUAACUACGGGCCAGCAGCCGCGGUAAUACGUAGGGUGCAAGCGUUAAUCGGAAUUACUGGGCGUAAAGCGUGCGCAGGCGGUUUUGUAAGACGGAUGUGAAAUCCCCGGGCUUAACCUGGGAACUGCAUUCGUGACUGCAAGGCUAGAGUAUGGCAGAGGGGGGUAGAAUUCCACGUGUAGCAGUGAAAUGCGUAGAGAUGUGGAGGAAUACCGAUGGCGAAGGCAGCCCCCUGGGCCAAUACUGACGCUCAUGCACGAAAGCGUGGGGAGCAAACAGGAUUAGAUACCCUGGCAGUCCACGCCCUAAAACGAUGUCAACUAGUUGUUGGGGAUUCAUUUCCUUAGUAACGUAGCUAACGCGUGAAGUUGACCGCCUGGGGAGUACGGUCGCAAGAUUAAAACUUAAAUGAAUUGACGGGGUCAUAGCU